CAGCAGCCGCGGUAAUACGGAGGGGGCUAGCGUUGUUCGGAAUUACUGGGCGUAAAGCGCACGUAGGCGGCUUUGUAAGUUAGAGGUGAAAGCCCGGAGCUCAACUCCGGAAUUGCCUUUAAGACUGCAGAGCCAGCAGGUGAGAGAGGUGAGUGGAAUUCCGAGUGUAGAGGUGAAAUUCGUAGAUAUUCGGAAGAACACCAGUGGCGAAGGCGGCUCACUGGCUCAUACUGGACGCUGAGGUGCGAAAGCGUGGGGAGCAAACAGGAUUAGAUACCCCCGUAGUCCCUGUCUCUUAUAU
rnacentral:rRNA from 1 species